AAUUGCACUGCAAUCAGCAUGGCAAGGCAGCUUGAAGGAGGUACCGCUUGGUGCCUGCAGAUUACUUGUGUAACAUGUUUUCAAGUCAUUGACUUUUACAUUGCAAACAAAGUCUUUUUAUUUGACCUUUUAAAUGCUCUGUUGCAAAAUGUGCAGGAGUACAGUGACAGCACAUAUGUGGAAAUUGCUUUCAUGCUGAUUUUUGGGCACUUUGUAACGGUCUAUGGAGCUUUGGGAGCAGUGCCCGAUGGAACAACCACUGAAGAUGUAGCUCCUUAACAAUCAAACUGCUGAAGAUGCAGGAGAAGGACUUCCUGGAGGCAAGGUGGAGACUCAUCAAAAACUUUUGGAAGCUGAUGAAAGGCUGCAGGCAGGUUUCAUAGCUGAGGGCUCUGGUCUCUCCACGCCGCUAAGCAGAGCUUAGCAGAGGGGUGACUUAGAUGGGUGAACCCAGCAGAGCUGUGCUGCUUAUUGCUUGGCCCCUCGAGCAGGAAGCCGCUGAACUUCCAGCCAUUUCCAGGGGAUUAACAACGAGAGGAGUUGCUGAAUACAGCAUAGUUGAUGCCAUUUUAUCUUCUUGUUAAAUGUUUGCAAGCUGUACUUUAUUUAAAUGAAGCCUUCAUCUGUAAUGUAUCAGUAAAUGCCAUAAUGUUAUAGGAAGAGAAGGGCAGCCUGGCUGAUGUGGGGAUUAAAUUUUUUUAAUGUUAUGUUCCAGAUAAUGAGUAAUGUGAUAUAAAAGGAUUCUAAUGCAUUCAGCAAAGCCAAACUCAGCAAGACCCGAACAAACCCCAGAGGACACAGAGAGAACCAACCUAUAAUAUAGGUCAAUGUUUUCAUAUGUGGUGUAAGUUCCUUUUGUCUAAUUAAUCUACAUCUACCAAUAUGUUAAUGAGAGGGAGAAAGUGAAAGCUCAUUGCCACCAAAAGGUCCCCAAGGCUGAAAGAAAACAGUCCCAGCUUGUGGCUAAUUAUUUUUUGCUUAAAAUUUAUUACUCUGAAAGAUAAGCAAACAUGGUGUUUAUUUGACCCGUGCACCUUGUACCAGACACUCUUUCCAAAUGCAGUUCUUUAAAACAGCAAUUAAAAUGACAGAAAAAGAGAAGAAAAUGUUGCUGAAAACACAGCAGUACAGCAGUGAAAGAAUGGGAUGACAUUCUUCCUGAGACACCAAGCCAGGAGGUGUGUGGCUAAAGGGUAAUCUCAGCCUUCCUCUAAGACCUGCCUCUGCCCAUUUCCAAAGGGAAUAAGGGAUGGUCACAGCACCCUUUGGCAGGCUGCUGCUCUGGGGAGGGCAUUGGGCUCGGCCACUCCCGUGCCCUUUGCGUGGGGCAUCACGGUCUGUGGCACGGGGCUGAGAUGGGUGCAUGGUGCUGGAACGCAGCCCCACAGCCACCCUUGCCCGCAUGUGUGGGCAGUAUGGGCAGCUCUUAUCAAACACUCUGCUUACCCAUGCCCCCUUUACCUGGGUAAUGGAUGUAGAGGCUGGAAGCAGCAGCCCCUGGGGAGCUAUCAGGAUAUCUGAUUUAUGCAAGAGUCUGUAAUAAACUUAUGACAGAUAUUUCUGUUGCUAAUGGGAAUGUAAAAAUUCAGAUAACAUAUGUUAAUUCUGAUAAGAAAAAUCCCUGAUAAGAACAACUCCCUUACCACUAAAUAGGCAAACUCAGCUCUGACUGCAGAAGUAAGUCUGCUCCUUACUGUCAGUGUGAAACAUUCCUAAAAGAUGAAGUUGUGAAAUAGAAGUAGACUGCUAAGACUGAGAGUUCAUCACUUGACAUAGAUCUUGUUCUUCCAAAGGAAUUAAGUUGGUUGUGCAUGUGUGACUUAAUUUAACCUUGGAUGAGGCCAAAAAGGAAGUCUUUCUGAUUUGAAUUUUAUUGCAUUUUUGAAACAAAUUUUUUAAAAAAUAUGAUGCCCAGUCAAAGCUCUCAGCAAUGACAGUGUUUGCUAUUGCACACAGCUGUUACUACCAGUGAAUGACUGAAGCCCGAAGGGUCGACACAGGGGCUUUGAUCAUUUGUUGAUGCUUUUGAAAUGCUCAGCUUUUCCCCUUGCUUCCUAAUGGUUUUAUAACAGAUUCAUAAUCUCACUCUUCUGAAUGAGGUUAAGAUGUAGAUGUUGCUAAAUGGCUUGUUCUGUGGUAUUUCUAUUACGUUUGAAAGAAAGUAUUACUGAUGUACUUAAGAACAGGUCUAUGUAAUAUAAGAGAGGAUACACAUCCUGAUGUACAUUUUUUUUAUAACAUGUUGGUAGACUUUAUCCUGGGAACAUUCUCUUAAAUACACACUAAAUUUAACUUUAAA